CGUGAAUGAUGAAGGUCUUAGGAUUGUAAAAUUCUUUCACCGGGGACGAUAAUGACGGUACCCGGAGAAGAAGCCCCGGCUAACUUCGUGCCAGCAGCCGCGGUAAUACGAAGGGGGCUAGCGUUGCUCGGAAUUACUGGGCGUAAAGGGAGCGUAGGCGGAUAGUUUAGUCAGAGGUGAAAGCCCAGGGCUCAACCUUGGAAUUGCCUUUGAUACUGGCUAUCUUGAGUACGGAAGAGGUAUGUGGAACUCCGAGUGUAGAGGUGAAAUUCGUAGAUAUUCGGAAGAACACCAGUGGCGAAGGCGACAUACUGGUCCGUUACUGACGCUGAGGCUCGAAAGCGUGGGGAGCAAACAGGAUUAGAUACCCUGGUAGUCCACGCUGUAAACGAUGAGUGCUAGUUGUCGGCAUGCAUGCAUGUCGGUGACGCAGCUAACGCAUUAAGCACUCCGCCUGGGGA
rnacentral:rRNA from 1 species